rnacentral:rRNA from 1 species
AGCGAACGCUGGCGGCAGGCUUAACACAUGCAAGUCGAGCGGGCCCUUCGGGGUCAGCGGCAGACGGGUGAGUAACACGUGGGAACGUACCCUUUGGUUCGGAAUAACGCUGGGAAACUAGCGCUAAUACCGGAUACGCCCUUUUGGGGAAAGGCUUGCUGCCGAAGGAUCGGCCCGCGUCUGAUUAGCUAGUUGGUGGGGUAAUGGCCUACCAAGGCGACGAUCAGUAGCUGGUCUGAGAGGAUGAUCAGCCACACUGGGACUGAGACACGGCCCAGACUCCUACGGGAGGCAGCAGUGAGGAAUAUUGGACAAUGGGCGCAAGCCUGAUCCAGCCAUGCCGCGUGAGUGAUGAAGGCCUUAGGGUUGUAAAGCUCUUUUGUCCGGGACGAUAAUGACGGUACCGGAAGAAUAAGCCCCGGCUAACUUCGUG